rnacentral:rRNA from 1 species
UACGGAGGGAGCUAGCGUUGUUCGGAAUUACUGGGCGUAAAGGGCUGGUAGGCGGCCAACUAAGUCGGAUGUGAAAUCCCCAGGCUUAACCUGGGAACUGCAUCCGAUACUGGUCGGCUUGAAUCCGGGAGAGGGAUGCAGAAUUCCAGGUGUAGCGGUGAAAUGCGUAGAUAUCUGGAGGAAUACCGGUGGCGAAGGCGGCAUCCUGGACCGGCAUUGACGCUGAACAGCGAAAGCUAGGGGAGCAAACGGG